UACGGAGGGUGCAAGCGUUAUCCGGAUUCACUGGGUUUAAAGGGUGCGUAGGAGGGCAGGGAAGUCAGUGGUGAAAUCCUAGGGCUUAACCCUAGAACUGCCGUUGAUACUCUCUGUCUUGAAUGCCGUGGAGGUGAGCGGAAUAUGUCAUGUAGCGGUGAAAUGCUUAGAUAUGACAUAGAACACCAAUUGCGAAGGCAGCUCACUACACGAGCAUUGACUCUGAGGCACGAAAGCGUGGGGAUCAAACAGGGA
rnacentral:rRNA from 1 species